rnacentral:rRNA from 1 species
UGGGGAAUAUUUGUCAAUGGGCGAAAGCCUGAACAAGCGACGCCGCGUGGGCGAUGAAGGUCCUUGGAUCUUAAAGCCCUGUUCGGGGGAACGAAUGGAUCGGGAGCAAAUAGUUCCUGAUCUUUGACGGUACCUCCGCAGAAAGCCCCGGCUAACUACGUGCCAGCAGCCGCGGUAAUACGUAGGGGGCAAGCGUUGUCCGGAAUCACUGGGUGUAAAGGGCGUGUAGGCGACUCUUUAAGUUGAAUGUGAAAUCUCUCGGCUCAACUGAGAACGGUCAUUCAAUACUGGAGGGAUACGAGGACGGAAGAGGGAAGUGGAAUUCUCGGUGUAGCGGUAAAAUGCGUAGAUAUCGAGAGGAACACCGGUGGCGAAGGCGGCUUCCUGGUCCGUUCCUGACGCUGAGGCGCGAAAGCUUGGGUAGCAAACGGG